rnacentral:sRNA from 1 species
AUUUGGAGUUUUUGAUUGGCAACAGAGGUCACUUUGAUCAUUUGUUUGUUUUUUGAGUCUGCUCAUAUUUACAAUCUCAGAAUCAGUUUCUGUUAUUUUAUUGAUCAUGGGGAAUGUAAUUGAAAGAUCCUUGUGUUCAUUUACUCUCCUGAAAUUUCUAAUCUUAUCUGUUUUUAUCUCUCUUCUUUGAUCUCAGACCAGCACAUCAGGUUUAAUAAUCUGAUACUCAAAUCAUUCAUAGUAUCUGUUUAUUUCAAAGCUUGUGAACAUGAUUGAGAAAAUAAUGCUCGCUAGAUUCUCAAAUUCAAUAGGUCAUUGACGAGAUAAGUCUUUUUUCUCAUUGUCUAUCUUUUCACAACAUAAUGACUUUUCACAAGGCCUGUCAUUUUUCUGUUCAGAGGUUAACACAAGUCUACUGUGUACCUAGCAACUUCGGGUAUUCUGCAGAUAUCAACAAUUUAUUUUUCUGUGAAUGGCACAU